CUUUCCCUUUAUUUAUUUGACAUUUUGAUCUACCAUUUAUUCUUCUUCUUCUCUCUCCGCCUUCGGCCGGGUUUCAAAGUGAUUCUGUACCUUACUAAAAAACAAAAGAAAUUACGGGUAUAAUCGUCAUUUUGAUUUUUAGAAAGGUUCACAGAUAACCAGAUCAUCGUCCUUCUUUUCGGACAUUUUCAUCUUUCCCUUUAUUUAUUUGACAUUUUGAUCUACCAUUUCUUCUUCUUCUCUCUCCGCCGUCGGCCGGGUUUCAAAGUGAUUCUGUACCUCACCAAAAAAAAAAAAAAAAAAAAGGAUUAGACAUGGCGAUGUUUAUGGUCUCACGUCGCCUUUCGUCUUCGUCGACAUCAUUGUCACUGUCUGGGUCUUGGCGUGCAGUAUGUUUAAGGCAGUUUUCGACGGCGUUCAGGGAGGAGCGAGAUACAUUUGGACCGAUACAAGUUCCCUCCGACAAGUUGUGGGGUGCUCAAACUCAGAGGUCAUUGCAGAAUUUUGAUAUUGGUGGUGAGCGUGAACAAAUGCCUGAACCAAUUAUUCGUGCCUUUGGAAUUCUUAAAAAGUGUGCAGCCAAGGUCAACAUCGAUUAUGGUAUGGAUCCAAAUAUUGGGAAGGCGGUAAUGCAGGCAGCCCAAGAAGUUGCAGAGGGAAAACUUAAUGAUCAAUUUCCCCUUGUUAUAUGGCAGACUGGCAGUGGAACACAAAGUAACAUGAAUGCCAAUGAGGUGAUCGCAAAUAGAGCAUCAGAGAUUCUUGGCCACAAAAGGGGUGAAAAAUUUGUACAUCCAAAUGACCAUGUCAAUAGGUCACAAUCUUCCAAUGAUACAUUUCCAACUGUUAUGCACAUAGCUGCAGCAGUUGAAAUAAAUUCAAGAUUUAUACCGAGCUUGAAACAGUUGCACACUUCUUUACAUUCAAAGUCUCUUGAAUUCAAAGAUAUUAUUAAGAUUGGACGCACACACACUCAAGAUGCCACACCUUUAACUCUCGGACAGGAGUUCAGUGGUUACUCUACACAAGUAAAAUAUGGAAUUGACAGGGUCAUGUGUACUUUGCCCCGCAUGUAUCAGCUUGCUCAAGGUGGUACUGCUGUAGGAACAGGAUUGAACACAAAAAAAGGUUUUGAUGAAAAGAUUGCAGCGACAGUAGCUGAGGAAACUAACCUACCAUUUGUCACAGCUGAAAACAAGUUUGAAGCUCUGGCUGCACAUGAUGCUUUUGUUGAAACUAGUGGAGCCCUGAAUACAAUUUCUACUUCUCUCAUGAAGAUUGGGAAUGAUAUACGUCUGUUGGGAAGUGGUCCACGUUGUGGCCUUGGUGAGCUGAUUCUUCCUGAGAAUGAGCCAGGCAGCAGCAUCAUGCCUGGUAAGGUUAAUCCCACUCAGUGUGAGGCUCUCACAAUGGUCUGUGCUCAAGUUAUGGGAAACCAUGUUGCAAUUACUAUCGGUGGAUCAAAUGGUCACUUUGAACUCAACGUGUACAAGCCAAUGAUUGCUAGUGGCCUUCUACGUUCACUGAGGUUGCUUGGGGAUGCAUCAGCUUCUUUUGAGAAGAAUUGUGUAAGGGGAAUUCAAGCGAAUCGUGAAAGGAUUUCAAAAUUACUACAUGAGUCACUGAUGCUUGUUACGUGCUUGAAUCCUAAAAUUGGCUACGACAAUGCUGCAGCAGUGGCCAAGAAGGCACACAAGGAGGGAACCACUCUAAAGGAAUCUGCAUUGAACCUUGGAGUGCUUACAAUUGAAGAAUUUGACCAGCUUGUUGUACCUGAGAAGAUGAUCAGCCCAACAGAUUAAGCCUGGAAGUACGUGGGAGUUCUUUUAAUAAUUUCUUUCCCAACUCCCAAGCCAAUUUCUCUAGAGUUCCAUUUUUGCACUCACAUCUCAGACUUUUGGUGGAUUCAAUUGGUCGAGAUGUGCAGGAGGUAGAAGUUCUCCAAUUAUUUGACUAUACUGUGCAUGGAAAAGCUAAAACCAGGUCAUAGGAGGGCCAGUGUCAGAUGGUGGAUCAUAAUCUCCUCUCCAACAUCAAGGAAGGAACCACUGCCCUUUGAUAUAUGAAGGAGCAAAAUGAUUUUUUCCCUUGUGAUGCUAACAAUUGAAAAUGAAUCUUGCCUGAUGCUAUGAGUUUUACAUGAUCAUAUUGGACCAGAAUUUGGAACUUACUUUCAGGUUUAUUGAUGAAAAUAACAUCCAAGAUCCCAUCCAAUUGGUGAAAGGGUCAUACAA